GUAGUUUUACUGAGCAAGAAUGGUAAGGAGAGAAAGUCAACACUGUUGGGAAUAGAUUGGGGAAAGCUUAUAAUAACAAACCAUGGAAUCUAAGGAAGGGCAAAAGGGACUUUCUAGAUGCAAUUACAUUAAGGAUUUUGAAAUGGGGAGAUUAACCUGGAUUACCUGGAUGAGUUCAGUGAGAUCACAAGGAUGGAUAAAUGCCAAGGAAUGCCAGCAUCCUCUAGAAACUGAAAAAGUCAAGGAAAUGAAUUCUCCCCUAAAGCCUCCAGAAGAAACAUGGCCCUACUGACACUUUGAGUUUAGGCUUCUGACAUCCAGUAGUGUAAGAGAAUAAAUUUGUGUUGUAAGUUACUAAAUUUGUGGUCAUUUGUUACAGUAGUAGGAAACUUACACAGUGGUCUUGGAUAAAGAAAAGAGGCUCCAGGUGAUCAACUUGAGAAGGGGUCAAGAGUGAUGGCUUGUUUGGAUUUGGGUCCCUGACAAAGGGCCCUUCAGAACCAUGACACCAGCAUAACCCAAGAUUUCAGCAAAAGAGAAGGCUCUCUUUGCCAAAUCUCCAGAGAGAGGAGCAAGAAAUAUUCCUGCCUUCAAGGAGUUCAUGGUUUAAGGAGGAAGAUACACACACACAUGCUAUGGGAUACGAUUCUAGCUGAG